AGUGAACGCUGGCGGUAGGCCUAACACAUGCAAGUCGAACGGCAGCACAGUAAGAGCUUGCUCUUACGGGUGGCGAGUGGCGGACGGGUGAGGAAUACAUCGGAAUCUACUUUUUCGUGGGGGAUAACGUAGGGAAACUUACGCUAAUACCGCAUACGACAUACGGGUGAAAGCAGGGGAUCUUCGGACCUUUCGCGAUUGAAUGAGCCGAUGUCGGAUUAGCCAGUUGGCGGGGUAAAGGCCCACCAAGGCGACGAUCCGUAGCUGGUCUGAGAGGAUGAUCAGCCACACUGGAACUGAGACACGGUCCAGACUCCUACGGGAGGCAGCAGUGGGGAAUAUUGGACAAUGGGCGCAAGCCUGAUCCAGCCAUACCGCGUGGGUGAAGAAGGCCUUCGGGUUGUAAAGCCCUUUUGUUGGGAAAGAAAAGCAGCAGGUUAAUACCCCGCUGUUCUGACGGUACCCAAAGAAUAAGCACCGGCUAACUUCGUG
rnacentral:rRNA from 1 species